GAUGAAGAACGUAGCGAAAUGCGAUAAGUAAUGUGAAUUGCAGAAUUCAGUGAAUCAUCGAAUCUUUGAACGCACCUUGCACCCUUUGGCAUUCCGAAGGGUAUGCUCGUUUGAGUGUCAUUGUACUCUCACACUUCUGAUCCUUUGGAUUGGGAGCGGUGGACUUGGGUGUUGCUGCUUUACUGUGGCUCACCUCAAAUGCAUUCGUGCAACUCUUGGUUGGACAUAGUACGGCGUGAUAAGUAUCUUCGCCGGCACCUCGCAAGAGGGUGGCUGAUCAGGAGCUCUGUGCUUUCCAACUGUCUUCAGACAACAACUGACAACUUGACCUCAAAUCGAGUAGGACCACCCGCUGAACUUAAGCAAAUCAAUAAGCGGAGGA
rnacentral:misc_RNA from 1 species